rnacentral:rRNA from 1 species
GACGGAGGGCGCUAGCGUUGUUCGGAAUUACUGGGCGUAAAGGGCGCGUAGGCGGCCGUUUGCGUCGGAUGUGAAAGCCCGGGGCUCAACCCCGGAACGGCAUCCGAUACGGGACGGCUGGAGACCGGGAGAGGAGGGUGGAAUAGCCAGUGUAGAGGUGAAAUUCGUAGAUAUUGGCUGGAACACCGGUGGCGAAAGCGGCUCUCUGGCCCGGUUCUGACGCUGAGGCGCGAAAGCGUGGGGAGCAAACAGG